rnacentral:rRNA from 1 species
AUUGAACGCUGGCGGCAGGCCUAACACAUGCAAGUCGAGCGGAUGAAGGGAGCUUGCUCCUGGAUUCAGCGGCGGACGGGUGAGUAAUGCCUAGGAAUCUGCCUGGUAGUGGGGGAUAACGUCCGGAAACGGGCGCUAAUACCGCAUACGUCCUGAGGGAGAAAGUGGGGGAUCUUCGGACCUCACGCUAUCAGAUGAGCCUAGGUCGGAUUAGCUAGUUGGUGGGGUAAAGGCCUACCAAGGCGACGAUCCGUAACUGGUCUGAGAGGAUGAUCAGUCACACUGGAACUGAGACACGGUCCAGACUCCUACGGGAGGCAGCAGUGGGGAAUCUUGGACAAUGGGCGAAAGCCUGAUCCAGCCAUGCCGCGUGUGUGAAGAAGGUCUUCGGAUUGUAAAGCACUUUAAGUUGGGAGGAAGGGAAGUAAGUUAAUACCUGGCUGUUUUGACGGUACCAACAGAAUAAGCACCGGCUAACUUCGUG